rnacentral:lncRNA from 1 species
CAGAAAACUUUAUUUUGAUUCUUUUCAUUUUAAAAAUGAAAUCGGUGUUUUCAGUUUGAAUCAGUUUGGCAAAAACCUGAAAAAUAUUUUAGAAAUAUUUUGAAAAAUUGCCUACUCUUGUUGAGUUUCUUCGCAGAAAACAAUAUGCAUUUUUUAGAGGCGUGGACCAACCUUUUUCUUUCUCGAUAAAGAAAGCACAGAGAACCAAGGCUUUAUUUUUAUAGUAUCAAUGGCAUCAAAGCUCCUAGGUUAAUACAGCUGGAACGCACUGCCAGGUCUAAAAACCUCAGAACAGGGCAGCAGCAGCAGCAGCUGAGACCGUCAGAGAGCCCCUGAGAUUUGGAUCGCAAAUGUGGAUUAUUGCUUCAGGAUGAGUCAGAAUACACUGCAAGAACUUCUCAUUCUCUGGUCUCCAGUUCCUACUAAUUGUAAGGCAGAAUUUCCCUCCCAUCCAAAGUGGCCUCCAGUGGUUUCGUAG